GAUGAACGCUGACAGAAUGCUUAACACAUGCAAGUCAACUUGAACUUCGGUUUGGGUGGCGGACGGGUGAGUAACGCGUAAAGAACUUGCCUCACAGUUAGGGACAACAUUUGGAAACGAAUGCUAAUACCUGAUAUUAUGAUUUUAGGGCAUCCUAGAAUUAUGAAAGCUAUAUGCGCUGUGAGAGAGCUUUGCGUCCCAUUAGCUAGUUGGAGAGGUAACGGCUCACCAAGGCGAUGAUGGGUAGCCGGCCUGAGAGGGUGAACGGCCACAAGGGGACUGAGACACGGCCCUUACUCCUACGGGAGGCAGCAGUGGGGAAUAUUGGACAAUGGACCAAGAGUCUGAUCCAGCAAUUCUGUGUGCACGAUGAAGUUUUUCGGAAUGUAAAGUGCUUUCAGUUGGGAAGAAAAAAAUGACGAUACCAACAGAAGAAGUGACGGCUAAAUACGUG
rnacentral:rRNA from 1 species